UUGCACUCAUCCGAUCGUCACUAGAAGCCGCAUUGAUAAACACUAGAUAUAUCUUAAAUGGUUCCUGUGGAUAUUGUGGUCAUGAGUUAUGUGUGGUGUGCCAUCGCAGAGAUGAUUGUGUGUUUCUUGAAGGUCUGUCGGGCGCCAAUAAUUUGGAGUUGAUAGCUAACUACGUUAUGGUAUGCUUGCACUCUUUUCUAGUGGAUAUGCUCGCUGUUUUGCUAACACUGUUUGUUGUUUUCUGUUCACCC
rnacentral:lncRNA from 1 species